GAUUAGCCAUGCGAGUCGAGAGGGUUCGGGCCCUCGGCGGACGGCUCAGUAACACGCUGGUAUAAUCUAACCUAAGGUGGAGGAUAACCUCGGGAAACUGAGAAUAAUACUCCAUAGGUCUAGGAUGCUGGAAUGCACUUAGGCUGAAAACUUCGGUGCCCUAGGAUGAGUCUGCGGACUAUCAGGUUGUAGUCAGGGUAAAGACCUGACUAGCCUACGACGGAUACGGGUUGUGAGAGCAAUAACCCGGAGAUGAUAUCUGAGACACGAUAUCAGGCCCUACGGGGCGCAGCAGGCGCGAAACCUUCACACUGCGCGAAAGCGCGAUGAGGGAAUCCCAAGUGCUUGCACGUAAGUGUAAGCUGUUUUUAUGUCUAAAAAGCAUAGAGAGUAAGAGCUGGGUAAGACGGGUGCCAGCCGCCGCGGUAAUACCUGCAGCUCGAGUGGUGGUCGCUAUUAUUGGGCCUAAAACGUUCGUAGCCGGUUUGUUAAAUGCCUAGGUAAAUAGUAUAGCUUAACUAUACGAAUUCUGGGUAGACUGUCAAACUUGAGAUCGGGAGAGGCUAGAGGUACUCCUGGGGUAGAGGUGAAAUUCUGUAAUCCUAGGGGGACCACCAGUGGCGAAGGCGUCUAGCUAGAACGAGUCUGACGGUGAGGGACGAAGCCCUGGGGCGCAAACGGGAUUAGAUACCCCGGUAGUCCAGGGUGUAAACGCUGCUUGCUUGAUGUUAGUCGGGCUCUGAGCCCGAUUAGUGUCGGAGAGAAGUUGUUUAGCAAGCUGCCUGGGAAGUACGGUCGCAAGGCUGAAACUUAAAGGAAUUGGCGGGGGAGCACAAGGGGCG
rnacentral:rRNA from 1 species